rnacentral:rRNA from 1 species
GCUGGCGGCGUGCUUAACACAUGCAAGUCGAGUGCGCGUGCCGUAGCAAUACGGCAUGGCGCACGGCGCACGGGUGCGUAACACGUGGGCAAUCUGCCCUUCGAUGGGGAAUAACUCCGGGAAACCGGAGCUAAUUCCGCAUAACAUUCCUUGGACUUCGGUUCGAGGACUCAAAGCCGUAAGGCGUCGAAGGAGGAGCCCGCGCCCGAUUAGCUAGUUGGUAGGGUAACGGCCUACCAAGGCUUUGAUCGGUAGCUGGUCUGAGAGGAUGGCCAGCCACACUGGAACUGAGACACGGUCCAGACUCCUACGGGAGGCAGCAGUGGGGAAUCUUGCGCAAUGGGCGAAAGCCUGACGCAGCGACGCCGCGUGGGGGAUGAAGCAUCUCGGUGUGUAAACCCCUUUCGACUGGGACGAAUGCCUCGCAAGAGGAGUGACGGUACCA